GGUCGCUUAGCUCAGUUGGUUAGAGCGUGGUGCUAAUAUCUCCUGCGAGUUAACGCCAAGGUCGUGGGUUCGACCCCCAUAGUGACCA
rfam:Paraphaeosphaeria sporulosa strain AP3s5-JAC2a unplaced genomic scaffold CC84scaffold_8, whole genome shotgun sequence.